ACUGUGGUAAAGGUUAAUGUAAGUGACCCAGUUUGUGUUGACCUUUGGGGAAGAGACUGCCUUUGAAAACGACGGUUUGUAAUGCUUUUAUUUUGACACUUUUACUGUCUUGUGUUUGAGUUGCUUUAUGUCCUAGAGUGUGAAAGCAUGCUUUUAUUUUGAAAUGAUGUAUAUGCAUAGAUUGAGGGACUGACAGAAUGGUUGGAGAGUAGGAAUAUUAAGUUUAUUAGCUCCUUCUGAGAGGAAGUCACUUUGAAAUUCAAAAUAACUCUUAGAGCAAGACGAUGCUACUUCAAGUCAUGAAUUAAAUUUUAUGUCAACCCAUUUUUGUUUCAUUCUUGCAUUAAUUUUUAUUUUUAUAUUUUGGUAAAUGAUUAGACUUAAAGGGAUAUUCCGGCGUAAAGUUAAUUUAAUGAUCAUAAAUGUUCUUCCUUGAGCUGCGUCACCCCGCUGUAGUCUGUAAUGGACAGGCCCGAGGUCUCGCUACAAACAAGCGACUGCUGGGAGAGAGUAGGUGAGUUGUGUUUAGUCUCUUUGCUAAAGAAAUUAGUCAAAGUUAAAAAGAUGUGUGGUGGCUAGUACUAUGGCUGUGACCCUAUAUGUCCUGUUGAUGAAGUUAGGUGCUGUUCUGAGCAUUAUUUGUGGCUAUAGAGUGGCGUUUUGGUUGAGGUUUGUUUAUGGCUCCUCAGACCUCUCUGUAUUGCUAUCCUGCGGUCGUUACUAAAGUUGAUAUAACUAGAGAAGCAGGCGGUCGGUAACAUUCAUCUCUCGAGGAGUGUUACAAUGUGUUUGACCCUAAAUUAAUUUUAUGCUGGAAUAUUCCUUUAAGUUUGUCAAACCACAGGCUCUGUCCCUCAGGAUCAAACCUCAUAUAGCUUGUGUGUUCAAGAUAGAAAACCACAAAAGUCAGGCCCUUCCUCACUCAAGGCAGCUUUAACAUUCGUGCCCCUGAGCUGAGAAGUAAAAAGUGUCCUAUGAUGCAUUUCCAUUUCAAAGCAUCCUGAAUUGUGCUCUUGAACAUCAGUCCAACCUUUCCUCCUCCCCGCCUCUUCCUCCUUCCUCCUCUGGAUCGAUGGUCCUGGACCGGAUCCCGGUGUGUGUGAGCAGCAGGGAGCUGUUGAAAGAGGAACAAAGCUGAAUCACGGGAAAGAUUGUGCUUUCAGGUCAAAGAUAAGAACAGAGAUAUAGUGCAGUGAAGGCAGGGAAGAAACUGCACAAAUAUAUUUCAGAGACCUGGUCACCAUGGAAACAGCCGUCAGGCAACAGGGGCUCCCAAAUCAUCUAACUGACACAAAAUAAAACCGAGGACAUUGGAAACAGGAUGAAUGGAUGGAGGGAUUAAAUGCAGACAAACAGUAUUUUUUAAAAACUAAAGCUGGUUAUGGUUUCAGUCCCAGACAGAACUGUGUGCAGUCCAUGGUUCUACAGAAAACAGUCCUAUCUGUGGGGCACAGGCUGAAACUAAUCAUCAACAGGUAAUAGAUGGUAACAGAACCUGAAGCUUUGAAUCUGCAGCGUUUGUACAAGACUCAUGCUUCAAGUCAAAAUUCUAACACUGAACCAUUUCUCUAGUGCUUUUAUUCGGAUACGAACAGUUUGGAGAGUCUUGGUAACUUCUUAUCAAUUAUCACUUUUCAUCUCAAAAGCAGAUUCAAAAUAAAUAACCACUCCACAGAUUUUUCAUUUAGCUGUUUUCUUAAAAAAAUCAAUAAAAGGUGGAGUUGGAGCAGGACUUCAGCCUCUGUGUACAGAGCUUUGAUCACUCGCCCACCCCUCUCAUACUAAUGAAUGUGUUGCUUUUAUCCUCGAAGCUCAUGUGAAGAGUUUUUUUUAAGGUUAAUGAAAUAAACUGAAAUUCAUAUUGAUUCCUAUCAUGGUACCCCAAA
rnacentral:lncRNA from 1 species